rnacentral:lncRNA from 10 species
UAAUGUUAUACUAUAGUUUACCUUUAGCAGAAACUAGGUAAAGUAUACACAGUAUCUCUUUAUUAUUUCUUUCAACUGCAUGUGAAUAUAAAAUUAUCUCAAUACAAUUUUCAUCUAAAAAUUAAAUGUUACAUAAUUACAAUUUGAUCUAUCUAUAGCCUCUAAAUUUACAAAAGGAAUAGGCAUUUUUAAAUAACUGCUCUAGAUAUUUAAUCGAUAAUAAAUACCUAGUAAGAGGAGAUACCCUAAAUUUAGCAUAUUAGAAGUCAAGUACACAUAUAGUAUGAGAUUUUAUAGGUUAAUAAAAUAUAAUGUUAAUUUAGAAGAAAGGGAAGUGUUUCAAUAUUUGAAAAGAGCAAAUUUCUAAUUCCCAGGUAUUGUGCAUUUUCACUGCAUCUAGUGAAAUCACUGUUAUAAACCACUCAAAGCAACAUCACUGGUGUUGAUUUUAUUUGAAGAUAAUAUAAUCCAGUUUUAUAUUGUACUUUGUAAAUCAAAAGCAACAUGGGACAGGGAAUGUUUGCAGUACAGAUCUAAGUUGGAGGAAGACAUCACUUUUAAUUAAGAAGCACUAAAGUGAUAUAUAGUUCUAUAGGAAAAGUGCCAGAUCAGAAGAAGUGAAAACACUUAGGUUUUAAUAGUUUCCUUUUGGUGACUCUAACUAUGCUAAUUUGUCUUUGAUAAAUUGUGACAAGGACUGUCAACUUAAAUGGUCAACAUACUCAUUAAAAUUAAGCAAUAACAUUUCUAUAGUAAUAAUCUUAGAUAUGUUUAAGACUUAGCCCUUUUUCUGGAAGUUAGAGUCUAAUAAUCUCUGCUUAGUCCCCCAGGGAGUGGGGUGAGGGGAGGGUGGUGGCGGCAUUCAAGUUCUGGCAGCAUGUGAAACAACAGGCAACCCUCAGGAAUUUCAGGGCCACACAAUCUACUUGAGUUACAUGAUACACUUGUGAUUAACACUAAUUCAUUUAAUGUGCUCAAGUAUCUAUGUACCCAGUUAGAAGAUUCAGAUCCUAUAAUAUUCCUAGGUAUUUUGUAUUUCAUCACUUUAUUACUAUUUUAAUGUUGACACAAGGACCCAAGAUCCAAUCUUCAUGAUAAAGACAAAAUUUCUUAUUAACAGCUAAGGUGAAUCCACAAGUUGACAUUCUAAUACAGUGUCAGAAGACGGAACCAAGGGAUUGCCUUGGGUGGGCAUCAACAUUGAAUCACUGCAGUUGGAAAUAACAAUCAGUUUUGUUUUUAUGAUUUCGCAUUGAUGUUUACUUAUAUUUAAGCUCCUUUAGAGAUUUCAAAUGACCAGACCACCAAGCCUGGCUGCAUUUUCCUUGAAAACUAUUAAGAAAAAAUAUAUAGAGAUCAGGAAGACUUUGUUGAUUCUUUGCAAUUUGCAUGUGCACUAUACGAAAACUAGGAGAAAUCUGAAAAAAAAAUCAGAUAUCCAUAUGUUAUUUAAUACCUCAUAUCCAGAUGUUUUGGAGGUCUGGUGUUAUAAGGUUUAUAGCUUUAAGACUGCAUAUAUUUUCAGAAGUCAAAUAAAAUAUUGCAUUUUAUUUAUUCAUUUGUUUCUCAUUUUGAUUUGUUUCUACUAUCUUUUAGAAUUACCAAGAAAUUUUAUGGAAAUCAUCAUUUUGAAGUCAGGUAAUAAGCAGAAAAAUAAAGAACUGCAAUAUUAUCUAUCUUCUUAAGUGUAUAUUUAGCAUUCUCUUGUUCAGUUAUCCAGAUGAUUAAAUUUAUUUCUUGAAAAGCAAAUCACAUAUCAAAUUUGGCCUUACUUUUUGGCACAUAUGAUGGUAAUGUGGAUUAAAUGUUAUGAAAACAGCUAAAUUUAAUUAAAAAUAUACUUUAGAACUAAAAAACUAAAAAUCUCAGGUUAAAAUUUUUUCAUAAUCUGUGUAAAUCUGAAAAUACGAGUAAAAUUAUUGAAUUGUAUUGAAAUGAAGGUAGGAAAAAUAAAUUUUAUAAAAUGUUUACAUAUAUUUAUAAACUAUGUAUGUUUCCUUUAUUACUAGUUUAAAUGUCCUUACUCAUAAACAGAAGAUCUAAAUAUGGGAAAUAAUCAAAUUCCAUCAUGUUUAAUAUUUUUCUUUCUCCAGUCAUAUAAACAUUGAUUCAUGACUUAUUUUCAUAUUUUGUUGCUCAAAAGCUAUAGUUGACAGGGUAGGACAUUUGAAUAUGUUCUGGGUAGCAAUUUUGUUACCUUAAUUUAUAAUUGUAAAUAUUUAGAGACAUGAACUCCAUUUGUCUUCCUGCCCCAGGCAGGCUACUGUUAGGUGAGACUAUACAGAUCUUUUUUUUUUAAGUCAUAUUAUCAUUAUCUGAUAUAGUUUGGAUGUGUGUCCCUGCCCCAAUCUCAUAUUGAAUUGUCUAACUGUAAUCCUCAAUGUUGGAGGUUGGGCCUGGUGAGAGGUGACUGGGUCAUGGGUUGGAGUCUCAUGAAUGGUUUAGCACCAUCCCCUUGCUGCUGUUCUCAUGAUAGUGAGUGAGUUACGGGAGAUCUGGUUGUGUAAAAGUGUGCAGCACUUCGCUGCUGGCUCUCGCUUGCUCCUGCUUUCAGCAUGUGCCUGUUCCCCCUUUGCCUUCUGCCAUGACUAGAAGCUUCCUGUGGUCUCCCCAGAAGCAGAUGCCACUAUGCUUCCUGUACAGCCUGAAGAACUGUGAGCCAAUUAACCCUUUUUUCUUAUAAAUUGCCCAGCCUCAAGUAUUUCUUUAUGGCAAUGCAAAAACAGAGUAAUCUUUUCUUCAAGAUCCUUCCUCACAACUAAGAAGUUGACCCUGCCUUUUCUUUCUUCCAUGUAUAUGGGUUUUCUUUACAGUGCCCUCUAAAUUUCAAUGAUUGGUUUAUACUUCACUCUUCCUGGCUAAACUGUAUUUAGAUUUUAAAAAUCACUCUGCUUUACUUAGUAUUAGAACUCUAAUGCUCUAUAGCAGUCAUGUACCUGGAACCUAGUAGUUGCUCAUGAAAAUGUAUGUUCAGUUUUAUGUUGAAUUUGUGUUACUGAAAACCAUCUAUCAGAGUAUGGAUUACACUUUAGGUCAGGGGUGUCCAAUCUUUUGGCUUCCCUGGGUCACAUUGGAAGAAGAAUUGUCUUGGGUCACACAUAAAAUACACUAACAACAGCCGAUGAGCAAAAAGAAAAAUAAUCGCAAAUAAACCCUCAUAAUCUUUUAAGAAAGUUUACAAAUUUGUGUUGGGUCACAUUCAAAGCCAUGCUGGGCCGCAUGCAGCCCACAGGCCGCAGGUUGGACAAGCUUGCUUUAGAUAUUCACUUAGCACAUGUUAAUGAUGGAGUAAAUAAAAUUGAUCUUCCAACUUGCAAUUUUCUAGCAUCCUCAUGAAAUUAAAAUUCCAUUUCGCUUACCAAUACCUGUCUCUAUUAUCUAAAAACUAUCCAUCAGAGGGUAACUAAUUAAUGCACUAAUUUUUCUCUGCUGAGGCAUUGGCACUGACGUUUUAGUAAUGCCAUGUACUUUUCCCAUUUGUAAUUUGUAAAAUAUUCUCUUAUGAUCACCAUGUAUUUUGUAAAUAAUAAAAUAGUAUUUGAUUAUAUACAUAAUCAAUGAUAAUAAUGAUUUAUAUAUAUAUAGUAUCAUAUAUACGUCAUUUAACAAACCAUUGUUAUGGUUUAAAUUAUGUUGCCCAAAAAGUUGUUGAAGUGCUUUCUCUCAGUAAAUGUGACCUUAAUUGGAUAUGGUAUCCUAGCAGAUGAAAUCAUUUGGGUGGUCCCUAAUCAAUACGACUGAGUCUUUAUAAAAAGGGGAAAUUUAGACACAGACAUAGACACACACACAGGGAGAAUCCUAUGUGAGCAUGAAGGAAGAUACCAGAAAAUGCAUCUAUAAUCCAAAAAAUGCCAAAAUUUCCAGAAAACUACCAGAAAUUAGGAAAUGGGCAUAAACAGAUUAUCCCUCACAUCCCUCAGCAGAAACCAACCUUGCUGACACUUUGAUGGUGCAUGUCUAGCCUCUAGAACUAUGAGAACGUUAAUUUCUGCUGUUUAAGCCAUCCAGUUUUUGGUGAGCUUUGUAGCGUUUUCAUAGAGCUUUGUUACACCAGCUCUACAAAACUAAUACACCCAUAAAUAUUGCUAAAGAUAAAUAUUCUCAGAGCCGCCUAUCAUUUGGACAAUAUAUCAACAACUAGAAUGACUGACGUGUGAAUAGUAUCUUUUGAAAGAAAUCCUAAAAUUCACCUUCAUUGAGAACUUUCAAAGAGAAGAGAAAAGUCCAAUUUGGGGUGCAGUCCUAUGCAAAAGCAGCCACCCUAGUGGGGAUGACGCCAGGUGGGUUUUUAUGAUUGGCUUAAACAUAGAUUGGGAUGGCACGAAAUAAAGGCAGAGAAAAGGGGAUAGAAGAUCCUAAACCCUCUAAUUAUGUUCUUUCAUCCUCCCUCACUACGCACCAUUUGCUUUUUUAUAAUGUGAUACCUGCCAGAGAGAUCAUAUGGGCAAAGUAUUUCUGCUUCUAAAUUAGCCCAAAAGUUAAAAAAAAAAAAAGAUUCCGGGUUUGCUUUCCUGUGAAGGUAUAAGAUAAAAUGUAAAGAACAAGCACAGUGAUGAUAGAAAGGUUGGACUCAGAUUUUAUAUUUUUACAAAAGGAAUUUUUAAAACACAUAUUGUACGUGAAGAGAUGUAGCAGGGUACUAAUAGCGUAGGCCUUUUAAAAAUCAAUAAUUGGUGUUAGUAAUAAGAGAUGUGCUGACAACCAGCUGUGAAAGUGGCCUCAUUCCUGCAGUGCAGGAGGGAAAGAAACCAGCCGGUGAUUACUAACUCCAAAUAUUGCUUGCAGUGAAAGCUUCAUUAAAAAAAAUUAGUAAAAUACCCCUUUUACCUUAAAAUAUGUGUCCCCAUAUUGAAAGAGGAUCUAUAUAAAGAGUUCAGAAAAGAACUGCUGCAAACUGUUCAAAUCAAGAGUAUUUCCCAGUUGGGCCACCGGCCUACAUUGUGGAACUUACUCUUUAGUAAAAAGCUCUUCUCCUCCCAAUUAAAGAAAAAAAGGUUGGGAUGCCCACAGGUCCUUGCAGCAUGUUUAGCGUGACUUUUAACCCCUCAUUUCACCUUCUGUAUAUGGCUCUUCUUUAUACCACCACCUGAUACAGCCACAGAAUCUAGUCUCCACUGCAAAUUAGGCUGUUAGCAUCUCUUUCACAAUUUUUAAAAGUCAGUGUCGAAAUUCACUGUUGGCCCUUGCUGGUCUUCUAUGCAUGCUGCCUGUGAAAAUCCAGCCAUUUAUUUUUAUUCAAAUCAAAGGGAGGCAUUUUUGUUAUUAAAUAAGUUACUCAAAAACAAACAGCAACAGAGUCCACUUCUUACCAGCAUAUUCCUGCAAGCCUGAUAUUCUACAUGAAUUAUCUUAAUGAGGAAAUAUAUCCAAGCACUGAAUAAGGAAUCUUAGAUUUCCAGCUUUGACUUUUAGCUACAGCUCACUCACACACAACCUUACAGAAUCCCUUAAAUCUCCAAGAGCCCAUUUCUCAUUUUCCUCUGUGCUCCCAUGGAGCUGAUCCAAUGGUUUUUAAGGGAGCUCUGAGCUUGGACAAGCUCUGAAGGGCAUGGGGCAAGACAAGAAACGGGCCCUGCGCUCCCUGCUUAUCGUCUUGGAAAAUAGGUAUGAUAAUAUCAGCCUCACCAGGGUCCCAUUGCAAUUAAUGUUUGGAAAAUGUUUUGAAAUCCCAGAGUUAAGAAAGGCAAUACCAGCGUCAAUUAUUUAAGGGUCUUAUUUCUAAAGCACUAUUCAAAUUGUUUUAAGCCACUUUUUCUAAAAAUAUAUGAUACAAAGGCAAUUAUACUACCUGCAAGCAUAAAUUGAUGUGGUGGUUUUAUGGUCUUUUGAAAAUUGCCUUAGUAGAAUAUCUCUGUGACCUGGAACAUCUAGUUAAAUGAGGAAUCUGAGUUUUGUAGACUCGCCCAAACACUUAAACGCCAAAGAGAUGAAUCUAUGGGAAGGGUGCUUUUCUUUGUUGAUCUUGAUUGCAGUUUCUGCACUUUCCAGAAGGUGAUGUUGCUUUGCUUGGCUUCGUUUCAGAUCUGAGGAGGGAAGCCAAACAAACAGUGGAAAAUGAAGGAUGAAUAAAAAAAGAAAAGAAAAGAACCUUGGCUUAGGAAAGAGAAAACUUUUACAACCAAAGGCAUUACAGAAGGUCUUUGAGUUUCAAUAACUUUGUAAUCUUCAUAUCCAACCAAUUUUUGCUGUAUGAGUAUUUCUGAGUCGAACAUCCUGGAAUUAAAGAUAGAUUCCAAAGUAUUUCUAAACAAUGUGUAAAACUGGCAUUAUUAGAAGUCUUUGAGUAUAUAGACAAGACGGAAAGUUUAAAAUAGGGAAACUAAAUUGAGAACAAAGAUGUUUCUAAAGAUAAAUCUAUUGCUUGAAUUUAUUAUAUAACAACAUUUUUUAACUACACAGGUUUGCAUUUUACUUGGUACAAAUAUAUCGUUGAAGAGUUCACUUACACAUCCAAGCUAUUACAUACAACUGGGAAUGGAUGCUCAAUGCUGUGUACAAGCAUUAAUGGAGGCAAGCUUCUAUGAAGCCUUGCGUGUGAAGAUGGUGCUGAGCAGACUAGAUUCAAUUCUGUUAUAUUCAAUUCUGUUAAAUGCUUUUUGCAUUUUUUUUUUUUUUUUUUUUGGAAUAAGGCACAAAAGGAGACUUCAGGCUGAACUUCAAGCAAAAGUUAAUGCUAUUCUCUUUUGGGUUCAACCACCCACUUUGCUUAAGGUCACUAGUUGAGGCUAAUGCAGCUCAGAGGGGCUGCAGUAAACUUGGCAUCUCCUUGAUUAGGCUCCCUGCUGAUCUAAUACACAUACUAGUUCACUUGCCAAGUCAAAUAACACAUUUAGUGAAUUGGAAAUAAGAUUUAAGUGGGCCAGCACAAUGCGGCUUGCCCUCUCAUCUUUUUACCGAAUCCUUCUCUUUGUAUGCAAGGCUGUGAAAACUGCUCUUGUUAGAGGACUUAAUCUUCAUUUUUUUCCUGUAGAUUAUUUGGAAACAGGUCAAUUGAAUGUUGGAGCUGCUAACUCCUCCCACUAAAGAAAGAACCCGCUUGUGGCAUACUGAUUGCAUCAUUUAAAUGAAAAGCUCCUAUUAUUAAAGAUAAAAUACUACAAUAUAAGGGUUUGUUAGAAUUAAUUUAAAAAUCCUGAUAUUAAAUGCAGUACUUUUUUAACAGUGUGUUUAUUUCUUUGUCUUAUAGAUUCUUUUCUAAAGCAUGCUUUGUAUUAACUACUGGUGAGUAAUAGGAGGGGAUGAUCAUAUCAGUAUAUAUUCAUCUCCUGUGGCUAUUCUGCUGCAGUUAAUUCUUAAAUACAGUAGGUUAUAAUAGGGUGACAUUUCUAUAGUGCCUUUCAUAAGAGCAAUCUAAAGCAUGUCAUAUAAUGUUUGACUUUGAACUAUUCAGUUUCUUAGUGACACAAAUCUCAGGGUAAAUUUAUGCCUUCAUGGUUUGUUUCCUUAAAAAAUAUGAGUCAUUGUAUUUGUUAUAGUUUGAAAUUUAUCAUAGAUUCACCAUAGAUUAUCAAGUUAUCCAUGCCAUAAUAAUCUGUAACUGUCCUUAUCUGUGUGUUAGAUGUGCAGGGUUAUGAUGUGUGUGGACUUUUUACGAUCUACUUAUCUCUUCUGGUCAUAUAGAUUUAUGUGUAUCUCUUUUCUGACUAAAUCUGAAAUCAGAGCUUGCAUUCUGAAGAAACAAAACAUAUCUAUGUAAAAUCCAAGUACUAUUCCCUGACAUCUAAAAGUUAGAGAAAAAUGAUUAUAAUACCCUCCACCAAAAUAAGGAGGUACUCAAUUUCAAUUGCAUUUUUUACAAAAUAAAAUGUUAAAUGUGUGAAAUGUAUAAUGUACCCUGAGAUUAAGCUAAGUAUCCCCAGAAUGAUUUUUAGAGUUACAAUAAAUAGACUAUUUCAAGGGACAGUGUUUGAUUAUCUAAAAUUUACAUAUUUGCAACAGUUGUUUCUG